GACAGAGGUGCCGAGCGUUAGGCGGAAUCACUGGGCUUAAAGCGUGUGUAGGCGGAUCCGUAAGUACCUUGUGAAAUCCCACGGCUCAACCGUGGAACUGCUCGGUAUACUGCGGGUCUUGAGCCACUUAGGGGCAACCGGAACAAACGGUGGAGCGGUGAAAUGCGUAGAUAUCGUUUGGAACGCCGAUGGUGAAAACAGGUUGCUGGGAGUGCGCUGACGCUGAGACGCGAAGGCCAGGGGAGCGAACGGG
rnacentral:rRNA from 1 species